rnacentral:rRNA from 1 species
UACGUAGGGUGCGAAGCGUUGUCCGGAAUUAUUGGGCGUAAAGGGCUCGUAGGCGGUUUUGUCGCGUCGGGAGUGAAAUCCACUGGCUUAAUUGGUGGCUUGCUUUCGAUACGGGCAGACUGGAGGUAUGCAGGGGAGAACGGAAUUCCUGGUGUAGCGGUGAAAAUGCGCAGAUAUCAGGAGGAACACCGGUGGCGAAGGCGGUUCUCUGGGCAUGUCCUGACGCUGAGGAGCGAAAAGUGUGGGGAGCGAACAGG